rnacentral:lncRNA from 1 species
UGAGCCUAGGGAACUCAAACUGCUUCAGCCAGCAGGAUCAGGAGUCCAAGAAGUUAGCCCAGAAUAGCAGCAUCUGCAUCAACUGGGAAGUUGUUAGAAAAGCACAUUCUGGAGUUCUAUCCCCAAAGGACUGGCUCCAAUACUCCAGAAGUAGAUCAAACCAUUUGUAUUUUAAUUAACUCUCCGGGUGAUUCUGACAGUUACCAACACUUGAGAGCAACGGGUUUAAGGAGGGAGCAUGAUUCUUUGCUAAACUUGCAACACAUGGGCUGCACUCUUCAUUGAGCCUUUUCAAGGAGAAAGGGGUAUAAACUGAAAAUCACGUAAGUUCUAAAAGGCUGAAGAUGGGAUUUCAAAGAUAAUGGCAUAUCAAAAUUUUCUCUGUUGUGCUGAGCCAGGAUAUGUGUGUAUGUGCAAACUUCGUGUUUUAAAGACCAAUCAUUUGUGCUUGUGGAUCAUCUCUCCCUGAAUAAAUACGGCAAAACUCCAUGAAGCUGAAAUAUUGCUCGUUAUUUUUUUAUAAAAAGGUUAUACGUUUCAUAAGACAAAACUUCCAGUCAACAAAUUCUUAUUCCUAGGGCACUAUUACUCUGAUAAAAUUAGUAAAGCUUUAAUUAUAAAAUCCCAAAACUCACAGACAAGAUUUACUUAAAGUUUUUUUUUUUUCUAUACUGUUUUGUUUUUUAAAUAAACUUUUCAACCCAGAAUAGCUUUACAUCUACAGAAAAAUGUGAAGAUGGCACUGACGGUUCCCAUAUACACCACACCAAGCCUAUCAGAAUCCUAUCUUAGCAUGGCAUAUCUGUUACAAUUAAUGAAGCAAUAUUGAUACGUUGUUAUUAACUAAGGUCCGUACUUUGUUCAGAGUUUUCCAGUUUCCACCCCUGGCCUUUUUCUGUUUUAGGAUCCCUUUCAAGCUAUCUUAUUACAUAUAUUCCUCAGGUCUCCUUAGGCUCCUCUUGGCUGUGGUAAUUUCUCAGACUUUCUUUGAUUUUGAUGACCAUGGAAAUUUUGAAGGAUAGUAGUCAAGGGUUUCACAGACUAUCCCUCAAUUGGGAUACAUUUGAUGUUUUUAUCAUGAUUAGACUGGGGUGAUUUGAGGUAAGAAGACCACAGAGGUAAAGAGCCAUUCUUAUGGAAUCAGAGGGACAUGCUCUCCACAUGUACCAUAACCAUUGAUAUUAACCUUGGCCAUCUGGCCUAGGGAGUAUUCAGGUUUCUCCUGUGCAAAUGUAUUCCCUCUCCCUUUCAUACUGCACGCUUUCUAAGGGGUGGGGGGUGCUCCAUCUUCUUGAAGGCGAAGCAUUUGCAUAAAUCAUUUUGUAUUCUGUUGCACAAGAGAUUUUUCUCUUAUUUAUUUAUUGAUGCAAUAAUUUUUAUCGUAUGGAUUCAUUUUCUAAAAUUUAUUUGAAAAAAUAAAUAUAUAAUAUAAAUCAAC